rnacentral:RNase_MRP_RNA from 15 species
CGGCUUCGCAGCGCACAGACAGGGAGAUAUCUCCCAAACAUGUUGUGAGGAAAGUCCCCGUGCCUUUGGGUAGAGAGUGCCAGC